rnacentral:tRNA from 1 species
GGGCUCGUAGCUCAGCUUGGAAGCCAAAACUUCCAUAGUUUGGCUAGGCAAUUAGAGCGCCGGUCUUAUAAGCCGGAGGUCAGGAGAAAUCCCUUUUCUUAAGAAGAAAAGGGCUUACUGAAUUCAAAUCUCCCCGGGCCCA